rnacentral:lncRNA from 1 species
AAGUCUGGGUUAUUUCUUUGAUAAGAACUGAAUGUGGCCGGGCGCAGUGGCUCACGCCUGUAAUCCCAGCACUUUGGGAGGCCGAGGUGGGUGGAUCACAAGGUCAGGAGAUCGAGACCAUCCUGGCUAACACGGUGAAACCCUGUCUCUACUAAAAAUACAAAAAAUUAGCCGGGCGUGGUGGCGGGCGCCCGUAAUCCCAGCUACUCGGGAGGCUGAGGCAGGAGAAUGGCGUGAACCCGGGAGGUGGAGGUUGCAGUGAGCCGAGAUUGCGCCACUGCACUCCAGCCUGGGCGACAGAGCGAGACUGUCUCAAAAAAAAAAAGAACGGAAUGUACUGGAGAUGUAUUUGAUAACCAAGGUUUUAGGUAAAUUUUCACCAGUAUUAGUUCUAUUUGCAAACUGAAAAAUGUUGUAGGCUUAAUGUAAAAUAACCACAUUAGUGAACAUUAUAUCUCUUAGAAGAAAGGCCAUAUUUUGCUCCUGCUUCUGUAAAAAUAUUAUUUGUUUGAAGGGGAAAUAAUGGUAGUGUGACCUUUCACUUAAUUCCUACUCCCUUAAUGUGAGAGAGACAAAAUGAGCUGAAGAAGGAAAAUUCUGGAGUUACACUCCACAACCUUGAACAUACUGACGGACAUCUCUGUUUUGACAACGAUUUCUCCAUGCCACCCUGUAGAAAAAGAUGAAGCAAUGCAGGAUAAAUGACAGGCAUUAACUGCUCCUGGGGUUUUGCCAUCAUUACACCAGUAGCGGCUAUUGAUCUGAAAUAUCCCAUAAUCAGUGCUUCUGUCUCCAGCAUUGUAGUUUGUAGCUCGUGUGUUUUUGCUAGGCUGAUUCCCCUGUAGCCAUCCAUUCCCAAUCUUUUCAGAGUUCUGGCCAACUCACACCUUUCAAAGACCUUGCCCUGGACCGUAACAGAAAGGAGGACAAGCCCCAGAACAAUGAGAGCCUUCAUGUUGACUGCUAGGUCAGAGUGCUAGGCUGACCAGGGUGAGCUGGCCCCAGUAUUUAACAUCUUUUAAC